AUUUUCCUUCGCUUUUCGACCAUGUCACGCAGUCUUCAUGAGUGGAUGAUUUUGGCUCAGUUGUCAUGAGAUGGUCCUCCUGUUGACAUGCUAACUCACGAGCUGUUCAUCCACAGCACUUUUUUUGAUUUAAAGCUGCAGUGGGUAGAGAUUGGAGCAAAUAUGAUUAGAAGAGUUAUUUUUAUAAAACGGGUCACUGUAUCCUGACAGUAGUGCAUGAGACAGUCCACCUCACAGUCCUUCCUCUGACUAAUCAGCAGGCCAAUUUUGCCCGUCUCCAAGCAUUCUGGCACUGAUUUCCUGAAGGCCCAGCAGUCUCAGCUGGCUCGCAGCACUUACAGCCUUGUCGUCGACAAUCUGGCCCGGGCCGCUCUGGGUAUGUGGGCCACCGCAGGAUCUGCGGAUCCUCGAUCGAAGCAUCCCAAACCGCAUCUGACUAAGUGGACAAACCACAAGGAUCAUCUGUGUUAUCCUUCAAUAAAUUUGUUAAAUCGCACCCUUGUUGACGGCGUGGUCCUUACUAGGGAAAAUA